AUAAUACAUUGCUGCUGUGAUAAGCACUCAGCAAAUAUUUGUUUGAGUGAGUUGACUCUAUGUCAGUCAUUAAGAUCACUCUCUUGAAUGCACCCUCAACACCUUUGCAGGUACCACAAUCCUGGGUCAUCACUUUAAACCCAUGUCCGUGAAUGUUACCCUGUAUCCCCGCCGUCCGUUCAUUCUCACACUGUUUCACACUUGCAACUCACUCAGCUAAGCUCCGACACCUCACUCUGCUCAUGGCCUUGCUUUCCAGUUCACUGAGAAAACGAAGCAGAUAGACGGAACUUCACAGCGCCCUACCACGACCACAGGUCGGCCUUCCUGCCAGCGAAGGGCCUGGGGAAUGGGUGAUAGGUGCCAUGUCCGGCCUCGAAGGCGGGAAGAAGAAGCCCCUGAAACAACCAAAGAAGCAAGCCAAGGAGAUGGACGAGGAACAAGAGGCCUCCAAACGGGAAAAAAAAGGAGAAGCAGAAGAAACCCAGGAGCUAAAAGUGAAGGCCAAGGCUGUAGGGAAGGGCCCUCUCCCUGAACAUGGGUGAAAUCUGGCAAUCUCCAUCUCUUUUCCUAUCAGUAACAAGAACAAUCACUACUCAUAAGUGUUAGGUGCUGUGUCAUUUAAUCUUUGCAAAAGGCCAAGAGAUGUUGGCCCAAAUUAGUCUCAUUCACAUGAGGAAACUGAGGUUCAGAGAUGCUAAUUAACUUGCCCAAGGCCAAUAUCUGGGUAAAUGGCCAAAGCUAGCCUAGGAGAUUCCUAAGGUAGUCUUUCACUAUUUUGUACUAAUUAAUUCACUCAAAAAGUGUUUAUUAGCCAGGCAUGGUGGCUCAUGCCUGUAAUCCCAGCACUUUGAGAGGCAGAGGUGAGAGGAUGGCUGAAGCCCAGGAGUUUGAGACCAGCCUGGACAACAUAGGGAGGGCCCUAUAUCUAUAAAGAUUUAAAGAUUAGCUAGGGCAUGGGGGUGUGCUCCUGUAGUCCCAGCUACUUGGGAAGCUGAGUCAGGAGGAUCACUUAAGCCCAGAAGGUCAAGGCUGCAGUGAGCUGAGAUCAU
rnacentral:lncRNA from 10 species